rnacentral:rRNA from 1 species
AUUGAACGCUGGCGGCAGGCCUAACACAUGCAAGUCGAGCGGACGAAGGGAGCUUGCUCCUGGAUUCAGCGGCGGACGGGCGAGUAAUGCACAGGAAUCUGACCGGCAGAGGGGGAUAAUGUCCGGAAACGGGCGCUAAUACCGCAUACGACCUGAGGGAGAAAGGGGGGGAUCAUCGGACCUCACGCUAUUAGAUGAGCCUAGGUCGGAUUAGCUAGUUGGUGGGGUAAAGGCCUACCAAGGCGACGAUCCGUAACUGAUCUGAGAGGAUGAUCAGUCACACUGGAACUGAGACACGGUCCAGACUCCUACGGGAGGCAGCAGUGGGGAAUCUUGGACAAUGGGCGAAAGCCUGAUCGAGCCAUGCCGCGUGUGUGAUGAAGGUCUUCGGAUCGUAAAGCUCUUUAAGUUGGGAGGAACAGCUGUGUGUUUAUCCCUUCCUGUUUUGACGUUACCUACAGAAUAAGCACCGGCUAACUUCGUG